AUGACUUGGGAGAGGGACCUCUUGACGGCGGCGAAGGGCUUGGUCUCGACGACCUCGUCGUCGCCGUCCUUCUCAGCCACCCCGCCGCGCCCGAGCUCCUGGUCGGAGUCCCCGGAGUCGGCCUCGAACUCCUCGAAGUCGGCCUCGAAGUCCGCCUCGCCGUCGUCCAGCCCGAGCCCCCCACGCCGGCCGAGCCCCGCGAGGUGCCGGGCGCCGCCGUCGGCCCGCUUGGGCUUGUUCUUCUCGGGCCACAGCACAGCCGCCGUCACCUUCCGCGCCGGCGCGGGGACCUUGAGGCCCUUGAGGAUCGCGCCGCCGCACAUGAUUGCCGGCGGUGCCUCGUCCUAG
rnacentral:rRNA from 1 species